AAUGAACGUUGGCGGCAUGGAUUAGGCAUGCAAGUCGAGCGGGCGUAGCAAUACGUCAGCGGCGCAAGGGACAGGAACACGUAGACUACCUGCCCUCGGGUCUGGCAUAGCUACUAGAAAUGGUAGGUAAUUCCAGAUGAUAUCUCCGGAUCAAAGGUGUGAUUCCGCCCGAGGAUGGGUCUGCGUCCUAUUAGCUAGUUGGUGAGGUAACGGCUCACCAAGGCAAUGAUGGGUAGCAGGUGUGAGAGCACGACCUGCGUCAUUGGGACUGAGACACUGCCCAGACACCUACGGGUGGCUGCAGUCGAGAAUUUUUGGCAAUGGGGGAAACCCUGACCAAGCGAUGCCGCGUGCGGGAUGAAGGUCUUCGGAUUGUAAACCGCUGUCAGUGGGGAGAAAAAGUAGGUGGGUUCUCCCAUCUAUUUGAUCUAUCCGCAGAGGAAGUGAGGGCUAAGCUCGUGCCAGCCGCCGCGGUAAAAC
rnacentral:rRNA from 1 species